UACUAACAUAUGCCAUAAGCCA
rnacentral:siRNA from 1 species